AGAUGUCCAAGUGAUCUGGCUGUGAAAUCUGUCACAGCGCUGAGUGGCAGGGUUGGUUUGGCUGAUCUCGUUCGGCUAGGUGGGUGUCCCCUUUCUCCCUCACUGCUCCAUGCAGGCGCCUCCAGAAGCUGGGUGUGAUGUUGAAGAAAGCAACCUUCCCUGAACAGAAGAACUCAUCUUCCAUCAAAGGUACAUGGAUAGCUGUGCUCUCUCCUGCUACAGCCUCCAAACAAGUUAUCAAAAAUGCAAAGGUAUUGGGUGAGUUUUACCCCCCCCCUGGGUGGGGAGGGGGAGGAGGUAGGCUGUAUGGUCAGCAGAUGAUAAAGCUGGCUGUGGAGAUCAGAGCCAGCUCUAG
ensembl:misc_RNA Gm24841 predicted gene, 24841